rnacentral:rRNA from 11 species
GUUGACCUCGGAUCAGGUAGGGAUACCCGCUGAACUUAAGCAUAUCAAUAAGCGGAGGAAAAGAAACCAACAGGGAUUGCCCUAGUAACGGCGAGUGAAGCGGCAACAGCUCAAAUUUGAAAUCUGGCGCAAGCCCGAGUUGUAAUUUGUAGAGGAUGCUUCUGGGUAGCGACCGAUCUAAGUUCCUUGGAACAGGACGUCAUAGAGGGUGAGAAUCCCGUAUGUGACCGGCCCGCACCCUUUACGUAGCUCCUUCGACGAGUCGAGUUGUUUGGGAAUGCAGCUCUAAAUGGGAGGUAAAUUUCUUCUAAAGCUAAAUACCGGCCAGAGACCGAUAGCGCACAAGUAGAGUGAUCGAAAGAUGAAAAGUACUUUGGAAAGAGAGUUAAAAAGCACGUGAAAUUGUUGAAAGGGAAGCGCCUGCAACCAGACUUCGCGGCAGUGUUCCGCCGGUCUUCUGACCGGUUCAUUCUCUGUCGCGAGGCCAUCAUCGUCUGGGCCCGCCGGAUAAGACCUGAGGAAUGUGGCUCCCCCUCGGGGGAGUGUUAUAGCCUCUGGUGAUGCGGCGUGGCUCGGGCGAGGUCCGCGCUUCGGCAAGGAUGAUGGCGUAAUGGUUGUCGGCGGCCCGUCUUGAAACACGGACCAAGGAGUCUAACAUCUAUGCGAGUGUUCGGGUGUCAAACCCCUACGCGUAAUGAAAGUGAACGGAGGUGGGAACCGCAAGGUGCACCAUCGACCGAUCCUGAUGUCCUCGGAUGGAUUUGAGUAAGAGCAUAGCUGUUGGGACCCGAAAGAUGGUGAACUAUGCCUGAAUAGGGUGAAGCCAGAGGAAACUCUGGUGGAGGCUCGCAGCGGUUCUGACGUGCAAAUCGAUCGUCAAAUUUGGGUAUAGGGGCGAAAGACUAAUCGAACCAUCUAGUAGCUGGUUCCUGCCGAAGU